GACGAACGCUGGCGGCGUGCCUAAUACAUGCAGGUUGAGCGCUCAAGGUUGGUACUUGUACCAACUGGAUGAGCAGCGAACGGGUGAGUAACGCGUGGGGAAUCUGCCUUUGAGCGGGGGACAACAUUUGGAAACGAAUGCUAAUACCGCAUAAAAACUUUAAACACAAGUUUUAAGUUUGAAAGAUGCAUUUGCAUCACUCAAAGAUGAUCUCGCGUUGUAUUAGGUAGGUGGUUAGGUAAAGGCCCACCAAGGCGAAGAUACCUAGCCGGACUGAGGGGGGGGAUGGGCACAAUUGGACUGGGACCCGGCCCAAACCCCCUCGGGGAGGAGCAGUAGGGAAUCUUUGGGAAAUGGGGGAAGUCUGGACGAGCAAAGCCGCGGGAGUGAAGAAAGGUUUCGGAUCGGAAAACUCUGUUGGUAGGGGAGAAAGUUGGGGAGAGUGGAAAGCGCAUGAAGUGGCGGUAACUAACCAGAAAGCGACGGCUAACUACGUG
rnacentral:rRNA from 1 species